UUUCCGUAGGUGAACCUGCGGAGGGAUCAUUAUCGAGCAGCAUAACACCGUAAAGCAAUGGCAACCGCUGACCAAACAGUCGUUCAGGCGCGGGUGUGGGGUCUUGCCUAAUAGGCCAUCCCACCCUUUGUGCCUCACCGCCUGGGGACCCUACGGAAUCAUCUCUGAGGGAGGGUCGCGUUGUCACACCAACACCCCCUUUAAAAGAGUAGAAUGACCACGUUUAUUCGAUCAAUGCAACUUUCAACAACGGAGCACUUGGCUCUCGCAUCCAUUAAA
rnacentral:misc_RNA from 1 species